UACGUAGGGUGCGAGCGUUAAUCGGAAUUACUGGGCGUAAAGCGUGCGCAGGCGGUUUUGUAAGUCUGACGUGAAAUCCCCGGGCUACCUGGGAAUUGCGUUGGAGACUGCAAGGCUGGAGUCUGGCAGAGGGGGGUAGAAUUCCACGUGUAGCAGUGAAAUGCGUAGAGAUGUGGAGGAACGCCGAUGGCGAAGGCAGCCCCCUGGGUCAAGACUGACGCUCAUGCACGAAAGCGUGGGGAGCAAACAGG
rnacentral:rRNA from 1 species